UUGAGAACCACUCCUCACUGAAUUGAGUUUACAAUACAAAAUAUUUCUUCAUAAACACCCAAUGAAAACAGCACGUUCCCCCCGGAAUCAGUGCUACCAAAAAUACAAGUGAAAUCACAAUGACAUCAAUAAUCCUGAAUUUCUUCUUCACACUCACUCAUGAAAAGUCUCCGAUUUUCCCACCUUGCUCAGCCACCUUAAGUGCCUUCCUUCAAGAUAUUUCCUACUGCUUCUAAAGAGGAUCUCCCAUUGGCUUGGGAGCAGCGUGAGAAGAGACUUGUACACAGAGAGGCUGGGCAACUUGUACAUGGUUGCACAGAUGUCCAGAGGCAGUGCUGAGAUGUGAACACAGGAAGACUGGAUUCAGCAUCUGUGCUACUAACCAGGACACUAUGAAGUCUCUCAUACCUGUGGUACUAGGAAAAUCAGAGAAAAUUUCAAGGAGGGUGGGGCAUUAGAAGCUGACUAUGGAGGAACCGGUAGGAGUUGGAUGUUUGGAAAUAGAGGGCAGGGCAUUGCAGGUAGAGAAUGGGAGUGUAUUCUGGAUGCCAACACAUCUGUGGCGGUCCUAAGAUCAGGAAUAGAUGGUCUGUAUCUUCAGUAUGACUUAAUGUUUCUGAGUGUAAGACUUAAUCUCCAUUUGAAAAAGGAUAAAAAGAAGGAAAAAAAAUAAAAGCUAUUACGUUUCUG
rnacentral:lncRNA from 10 species